rnacentral:rRNA from 1 species
GAUGAACGCUGGCGGCGUGCCUAAUACAUGCAAGUCGAGCGAACAGACGAGGAGCUUGCUCCUUCGACGUUAGCGGCGGACGGGUGAGUAACACGUAGGUAACCUACCUAUAAGACUGGGAUAACUUCGGGAAACCGGAGCUAAUACCGGAUAAUAUUUCGAACCGCAUGGUUCGAUAGUGAAAGAUGGCUUUGCUAUCACUUAUAGAUGGACCAGCGCCGUAUUAGCUAGUUGGUAAGGUAACGGCUUACCAAGGCAACGAUACGUAGCCGACCUGAGAGGGUGAUCGGCCACACUGGAACUGAGACACGGUCCAGACUCCUACGGGAGGCAGCAGUAGGGAAUCUUCCGCAAUGGGCGAAAGCCUGACGGAGCAACGCCGCGUGAGUGAUGAAGGUCUUCGGAUCGUAAAACUCUGUUAUUAGGGAAGAACAAACGUGUAAGUAACUGUGCACGUCUUGACGGUACCUAAUCAGAAAGCCACGGCUAACUACGUG